GACGAACGCUGGCGGCGUGCUUAACACAUGCAAGUCGAACGGAAAGGCCCUGCUUUUGUGGGGUGCUCGAGUGGCGAACGGGUGAGUAACACGUGAGUAACCUGCCCUUGACUUUGUGAUAACUUCAGGAAACUGGGGCUAAUACCGGAUAGGAGCUCCUGCUGCAUGGUGGGGGUUGGAAAGAUUCGGCGGUUGGGGAUGGACUCGCGGCUUAUCAGCUUGUUGGUGGGGUAGUGGCUUACCAAGGCUUUGACGGGUAGCCGGCCUGGGAGGGUGACCGGCCACAAUGGGACUACGAUACGGCCCAGACUCCUACGUGCGGCAGCGGUGGGGAAUAUUGCACAGUGGGCGGAAGCCUGAUGCAGCGACGCCGCGUGCGGGAUGACGGCCUUCGGGUUGUAAACCGCUUUCGCCUGUGACGAAGCGUGAGUGACGGUAAUGGGUAAAGAAGCACCGGCUAACUACGUG
rnacentral:rRNA from 1 species